CUAUUGCUAGAUGGUUACAUCGAUUAAUAUAAGAAUUAUUCUUAUGCUACCAGUCUAAGUUUGAACCUAUAGGAUCACACACAUAAAAAUACCUGUCUGAUCAAAUGGCUGAUCGAUGAUUAUGAAUCGUUGAAGGAUUUAAUUAUCAAUUUGAUUGAUGAUUAAUCCUAUACAAAAGUUACAAUAAAUUAUUUACUAAUGGUUAGUAAAUUAAAAAAAUAAUUAAUCAAUAAUAUGAUUAUUAAUUAGCUUAAUUUGAUUAAGCAAUGG
rnacentral:lncRNA from 1 species